GCCUCUGCUAUUGUGUACAUAGUUUAUACUAAGUGACCCAUAGGUAGAGAAAAAAAGACAACUCUGCUCUGCAGAGUAGCUGUUGACAUUAUAGUUGCGCAGGCACUUUGUUGACUCUAGAGAACCUUGGGCCAAUCGCACAUCCCCGUGGCGGCGACUUUGCAUGCGGAUGUCAUCCAUAUCAACUUUCGAUGCCAGUUUCUGCGCCUACCAUGGUAACCACGAGUAACGGGGAAUCAGGGUUCCAUUCUGUACAGGGACCCUGAGAAACGGCUACCACAUGCAAGGAAGGCAACAGGCGUGCAAAUGACCCACUCCCGACAUGGGAAGGUAG